AAACCUUAAAAAAAAAUAAACGCGUUUAAGUAAAUGCAAUGGUGUAAAAGUGACUUGAYGGUAUAAAAUGCUCGCUAUUGGCAUUUACAUUCGUCCUCGAGGUCUAAUUCAUAAAUUACAUGAACUGUUCACUAAAAGUCACUCAUGGUAGGGAAUUAAGCAAAAAGCACUAAACAUUUUGUAUAAACCGCAUAACAAUCGAAUAAAAUGAAAAUGAAAACAAGCAAACCGCAAACUAUGAAGAUCUAAAAGACCGUAAACUUGAACCCAAGUGAAAAAACGUAAAAAUAAAACCUAAAUCACGUAAAUGCAAACCUUACGACUCCUCCUGAGGGCUAUUCGAUGAAUGUACUAAGACGUUGUACGUUGUAAAUACAGUCGUGAAAUGUUAAUCAUUAUUUGAUUGUUUAUUAUUAGUUGAUCAUAAUUUAUUCAUAAAAAAUAUAUUUCCAUGUCAUUACUCACAUUUUACUUCCGGUUUGCAAACUUUGCAGGUCAAGCGACAGUUCUCGGACAUCCUUCUGUUGGAGCUGCAAAGACGUUGAAAUUUCUUGCAUGUUCGUGUCCCAAACUUGUCUUCGCCUUCAUUGAAAAACGAAAAAGCGUCAUUAUAUCUGCGUCUUAAACAGAUUGAUUGUCAGCAAGUAGAUGGAGACAUCAUCCGGGACGUCAAUCAUUGCAGACGUCACUACAGCAAGGGAAACAACAAUUACCAAGAAAAUACCUUUAGACAUCUUGCUUGGAUCUGAUAGAAAAUAAAGAAAGAAAUUAUGAUAUUCUGAAAAAAUACUAGUCAUUUCAUAUAACAUAUCUAACUUGUAGAUAGAAUAUUGUAUGGAAGAUCCAUAGAAAAAUUUCUCAGGCAUCAGAAAAUAGCAUUACAGGGCUGGGAACAUGGAUAAUGACGGCUUUAAAAUUUGGCGUUACCGUUAUGAUAGAUAACAUUAACAUUUUUCUGGCAAAACCUGAUCAACAACCAAGAGAAAAACAUGAAAAAAGAAUCAAGAUUAUUAAAUAUAUCCUAGUCUCACCUUAUUCUAACCAGUCUAAGUUUCACAAUCGCAGGUUAGAGACCGACUCCCUUCUAUUUAUGUCCSCGACAUGUGUCAACGUAACAAGGGCGUUAACCGGAAUCAAAGUUGACUUUUUAUAAAAACCGAAACGAAACUGAAAUGASUGAAUAGCAAUUGUAAGAAAUGACAUUGUAGUUAGAUUUUCUGGCAAARAUAGGUCUAAAAUAAUAAAUCUUUUCAACAAUGUGAUCGCCAAAUUUKUUUCUAGAAAUUGAAAACACUGACCAUAAAAAUGUGUGUUGGUUAUGAUAAAAACCACUUGGCAGACAACCUACCAAAAAUGGCAAGACUGUCAAGGGUUGAAUCUUUACUUAUUUACCAUAAAUACUGAGUCAGAUCCCCAUUAUCACAUUGAUAAAACCGACAACUGGCGUAGUAUUACGUACAUGUUCACCAUCGAAGUUUAUGACGUCAGGUGGUUCUGCUGAUGCCAGCGUCUUUCUGUCGCCAGCGGCUCUACUUUUGUGGGGUACAGGUAUAGUAUUGAGUCAUUAGAAAUCAUAUCAAAAAAAAUAUUCGUUUUUAGGCCGUAUGAGCUUAUAAGUUUAUGAUAGUUUCGAUUGAAAUAUAUUAGUUUGUUAGUUUGGCUGUUUUGAGAGCUACUGGAAUAAGGCAUUGCUCUCAGUUUUUGAGUAGGGUAGUAGUAGAAUCCAUAGGCUAACAUCCGUCAGAGAAAAAAAGGAGUUACACUUAGCUUUAUAGGAGAAAUUUACAUGAAAUACUCAGUGCUAAAUCUGUAAUAGAAACGGAAGUCUUUUGUCUGAAAGCGCUCCUUUUAUAGAUUUAAAAAGAAAAAAUUCGUGGCGCUUUCAAUGCAAUAACGAAAGUACUUGGUAACGUACUGACAGGACGCUGAACAGGAUACGCAAAAAGCUAAACCCAAGACCGCUCGUCACAUAGACCAUCUUUUCGAUUAUGCUGAUCGAUCUGGACUCUUACCUGAGUGAAGUGCCCUGUUUUAUGGUUAAAUCCAGGAUGUGAGAAAUCAUAAUCUUUGACUUCAUCAUACCUAUCAAUAAAAGCUCACUAUUAGCUCAGGCCACGUCGGUCUGUAUUUGCACAGGGAUCCCAAUCACUUACCACAACUUCGUCGCCCCCGCGCAAUCUAACUUGGCUCCCAUUGAAGAUGCCAAAUUCUCUCCUUCAUUUUUAACUGUUAGUUCUUUUUGGUCAUGCCUAAAUGCAUGUUCCGCUGCUAGUUUGUUGGCGUAGUUCUGUGCAUCAUUGGCUAAUUCUGUAUCCCAUAUUAGGGGUGGUGCUCCAUGGCGUCUGCGAUAUUCAUUAUGGGCAGCAAGACACCUCCUUAUGUUGACCGACUCUACACGAUAAAAACAUUCCAUCAAUAAAUAUUUGACCGAUUAUCUAUCGAUUAAUUAUCGAUUUAUGAUGUUUAAAUAUAGUUGUUUUGCAAAUGUGACAAUUGUAAGUAUUAGCAAGUAAACACUAAUAUGGAUAAGAUGAUAAAUGAAAUAUCUUUACAGAAAGUAUAAAAAAGUGUUCCGGAAUUUUAUCAAUUAAUCCGCGCACGAAACUAACAUCAUCCCUCAUCUAUUUUACAAUCUAUCAGGGUAUCUUAAAGAAAACAAUUUAUCCACUUAAUAGCUUGAAUUAUAGCUAAUUAUUGACAUUCAUCAUGUCUGUUAACAGUUAAGUUCUCACCAGGUCUUCGUUUAAARAGAAAUGGUUCAUCRUCGACAGCGUCCCAGUCAACAAUGGCUGCCGUCACUACACCAAGAAAUGCAACUAACACCACGAGGAUAACUUUAGACAUCUUUUAAUCUAAACAGGAAAUAAUUAUAUUUGAAUUGGCUGAAUUGAACGGUUAGAGUCAGUUGUGCAUUUAGUUACAAAACUAUGUYAAUGAAGGUUACCGCUAAAUAUAUAAUUACUAUCAUGUCAUAUGUUGGAAAGAAAAAUAUACUACAUCGAUUAUGAGACUCUGCAUUUACCCAGAGAAUAUUUUAUCUAGUCCACGCCCAGGCUGAACUCCAACAGAGGCAAAGUUACCGCCAAAAUGAAACGGACUGAAAACGGAACCGUUUCCCGCCAAAACUCAAACCAGAGAUUUUUUAACAAAGCRAUCUAACGUAAAAUCACAGGAGUAUCUUAUAUUAAAGCAAAACAAAUGACAAACAACUGAUUUCAUGGUUAAAAUGCUGCUAUUUCAGUAUAGCAUGACGCUCCUCUUAGACUGUAUCCAUUUAGUUUCCGAAAGCUGACCGAUGAGGUGUGUAACCGCACUUUCUACAUGUAGAAUCAUGAAUUAUCAAUAAUCACGGAUAUUAUCAACAUGAGAAGUAUUUGACUAUCAAAACUAUAACAAAUAUAACAUGAAAUUCUGACCUGCGUCUUGUUUAUAUCUGCAGUGAUUCUGGUAGUCUGCGUCAAGAGAGGUACAAUCUUUGACUGACUGUU